UUUCCGUAGGUGAACCUGCGGAAGGAUCAUUACAGAGUUCAUGCCCUCACGGGUAGAUCUCCCACCCUUGAAUACUUAUACCUUUGUUGCUUUGGCGGGCCGCUUCGGCUACCGGCUUCGGCUGGUGAGUGCCCGCCAGAGGACCCAAAACUCUGAAUUAUAGUGUCGUCUGAGUACUAUAUAAUAGUUAAAACUUUCAACAACGGAUCUCUUGGUUCUG
rnacentral:misc_RNA from 1 species